CUUUGACUAGGAAAUGGAACUCCCUGACCCCUUGCACUUCCCGAGUGAGGCAAUGCCUCGUCCUGCUUUGGCUCGCGCAUGGUGCGCUGCUCCCAGUGCCCUGCGCCCACUGUCUGGCACUCCCUAGUGAGAUGAACCCCGUACCUCAGAUGGAAAUGCAGAAAUCACUCAUCUUCUGUGUCACUCAGGCUGGGAGCUGUGGACCGGAGCUGUUUGUAUUCGGCCAUCUUGGCUGCCCUCGUCUCUCCUUAUGAUAAAUAUUCUGUGCUGUACUUAAAGGGCACCAGAAAGAACUUGGAGAUUAGCUGCCCCAGGAUGCAGGUGCCUCUCUGGAGAAAUGGAAAUUCUCCUUGAGUUGAUGUGUUCUUAGUCUCCUCUUGGUGUCUGAGCAGUGUGGAUGGUGUGAAGCAUCAAGGGAGCCAUGGUUUACUGCCUUGCAUGACACUUUUACAAAUGGUGACUAUUCUCACGCCCCCUCUCACCCCCACACAUGCAACAACAGGACCUCAUAGGCCAGCACCUCUUCAUCACCUGAAAAUUAUUCAGCACAGUUUGUACAACAUGAAUAUUCAUUGCAUUUUGCACAGUCUUGUGUGGAAAAUAACAUAAAAAUCUGUAAACCAAAUAGAGUUUGGAUCAUGGAGUAUCCUUGAAGCACAUAUUAAAUG
rnacentral:lncRNA from 10 species